GCGAACGCUGGCGGCGUGCCUAACACAUGCAAGUCGAGCGAGGGCAUGAGUGUAGCAAUACACUUAUGUACUUAGCGGCGGACGGGUGAGUAACACGUGGAUAAUCUGCCCUGAGGACCGGGACAACUCUGGGAAACCGGAGCUAAUACCGGAUGUGACCACGAUGUCUGAGGACGUUGAGGUAAAGGGUGGCCUGCAAGGGCUAUUGCCUUGGGAUGAGUUCACGACCCAUCAGCUUGUUGGUGAGGUAACGGCUCACCAAGGCUUCGACGGGUAGCUGGUCUGAGAGGACGAUCAGGCCACACUGGCACUGCGACACGGGCCAGACUCCUACGGGAGGCAGCAGUAAGGAUAUUGCGCAAUGGGCGAAAGCCUGACGCAGCGACGCCGCGUGGGGGAUGAAGGUCUUCGGAUUGUAAACCCCUUUCGGGAGGGAAGAUGGAAUGGGGUAACCC
rnacentral:rRNA from 1 species